UACAGAGGUCUCAAGCGUUGUUCGGAUUCAUUGGGCGUAAAGGGUGCGUAGGUGGCGCCGUAAGUCGGGUGUGAAAUCUCCAAGCUUAACUUGGAGAUGGCAUUGGAAACUACCUUGCUUGAGGGUCGGAGGGGGGACUGGAAUACUUGGUGUAGCAGUGAAAUGCGUAGAUAUCAAGUGGAACACCAGUGGCGAAGGCGAGUCCCUGGACGACUCCUGACACUGAGGCACGAAAGCUAGGGGAGCAAACAGG
rnacentral:rRNA from 1 species